GAUAUUGAAGGACCCUUACAGCAGGUCCAACUGCUGUACCUCCUCCUUGGGAGAAGAUGUAUGUGGGCCCCAUUUACAUUUGACCAGGCAAAUUUUCCAGGCUGUUGUACAGAGCCACCAAGACCUGAUGCCAAUUGUGGUGGUCUUGUUUGAUGAGAGUGAUGAGAGUGUCAAUGUCAUCAGGACACUUAAUGAGGAUACACAACUAACAAAUAUGUUAGACAGCUGCUUGGUAUUUGUGGCACACAACAGAUCACCUUGUGUGUCACAAAUGUUUGAACGUGUUGGCGAAGAUCCAUGUCCCUUGAGUGGUGCCCAUGUCUUGAUUCUGCAACAAGUUGGUGCUACCAAACGCUAAGUCAUUACAGCAUGGUUGUCAGGUAUAUGAUGUUAUUGGUGCAUGCCUCCAUGUUUCCUUAGAGAAAAGUGACCAGCCUCGAUGUAUUGAUAAUCUAAUUUUCUUAUUACUAGAUGAUAAAUUGAAAGCAGAGGAGGUGAUCAGACACACCACAGUGAAUCUCCACCAUUUAAAGGUCAUCUCUCUACAAAGGUAUACCUACAGUAAACUUCACAUAUUCUAGACUUUCUUCUAUGUAAUUUGUUACAAAGGAAAACAACAGGUGAAGCAUUUUCUAUGCAGUAAAGUAAA